AAAGUCGUAACAAGGUUUCCGUAGGUGAACCUGCGGAAGGAUCAUUAUUGAUUGUGAAUCGUUGCCUUCAGUGCUGGCCCCGGCAAGUGCACGUUGGUGACUUUCAUCCAAUACACCCCUGUGAACUUCUGGCCUCUUGCUAGCUUCGGCUGGCAGAGGAUUUUUACACACACUCGAAUGUAAUGAAACCUAUUGUUGUGCGCAAGCACUAAUGUACAACUUUCAACAACGGAUCUCUUGGCUCUCGCAUCGAUGAAGAACGCAGCGAAAUGCGAUAAGUAAUGUGAAUUGCAGAAUUCAGUGAAUCAUCGAAUCUUUGAACGCACCUUGCACCCUUUGGCAUUCCGAAGGGUAUGCUCGUUUGAGUGUCAUUGUACUCUCACGCUCUCCAAUCCUCUGGAUCGGGAGUGGUGGACUUGGGCGUCUGCUGCUUGACUGUGGCUCGCCUUAAAUGAAUUAGUGCAACUCUUGGUUGGACAUAGUACGGCGUGAUAAGUGUCUUCGCCGGCACCUCGAAAGAGGGUGACUGAUUGAGAGCUCUGUGCUUCAAACUGUCUUCGGACAAUCUCUGACAACUUGACCUCAAAUCGAGUAGGACUACCCGCUGAACUUAAGCAUAUCAAUAAGCGGAGGAAAAGAAACUAACAAGGAUUCCCC
rnacentral:rRNA from 1 species